CAGGGUGACAGCCCCGUACACAAAAAUGCACAUGCUGUGAGCUCGAUGAGUAGGGCGGGACACGUGGUAUCCUGUCUGAAUAUGGGGGGACCAUCCUCCAAGGCUAAAUACUCCUGACUGACCGAUAGUGAACCAGUACCGUGAGGGAAAGGCGAAAAGAACCCCGGCGAGGGGAGUGAAAAAGAACCUGAAACCGUGUACGUACAAGCAGUGGGAGCACGCUUAGGCGUGUGACUGCGUACCUUUUGUAUAAUGGGUCAGCGACUUAUAUUCUGUAGCAAGGUUAACCGAAUAGGGGAGCCGAAGGGAAACCGAGUCUUAACUGGGCGUUAAGUUGCAGGGUAUAGACCCGAAACCCGGUGAUCUAGCCAUGGGCAGGUUGAAGGUUGGGUAACACUAACUGGAGGACCGAACCGACUAAUGUUGAAAAAUUAGCGGAUGACUUGUGGCUGGGGGUGAAAGGCCAAUCAAACCGGGAGAUAGCUGGUUCUCCCCGAAAGCUAUUUAGGUAGCGCCUCGUGAAUUCAUCUCCGGGGGUAGAGCACUGUUUCGGCAAGGGGGUCAUCCCGACUUACCAACCCGAUGCAAACUGCGAAUACCGGAGAAUGUUAU
rnacentral:rRNA from 1 species